rnacentral:rRNA from 1 species
UGCCAGCCGCCGCGGUAAUACAGAGGGGGUUAGCGUUGUUCGGAAUUACUGGGCGUAAAGCGCGCGUAGGCGGAUUAGACAGUUGAGGGUGAAAUCCCGGAGCUUAACUCCGGAACUGCCUUCAAUACUACUAAUCUUGAGUUCGGAAGAGGUGAGUGGAAUUCCCAGUGUAGCGGUGAAAUGCGUAGAUAUUAGGAAGAACACCAAAGGCGAAGGCAUUCUACUGGCUCGAUACUGACGCUGAGGUACGAAAGUGUGGGGAGCAAACAGGAUUAGAUA